rnacentral:lncRNA from 1 species
GGGGGGGGGGGGGGGGGGGGGGGGGGGGGGGGGGGGGGGGGGGGGGGGGGGGGGGGGGGGGGGGGGGGGGUUUUUUUUUUUUUUUUUUUUUUUUUUUUUUUUUUUUUUUUUUUUUUUUUUUUUCUCCGAGGCUGCACUUUGGAAGAGGUGCAGUCAUUCUUACCCACACCCCCUACCCUCUCUCCACUCCCCCAACUAUAAAUUCCCUUCUGUAGCAUGCUGCCCUUUUGUAAUCCACAUUUGUGUUUCAGAUCAUGUAGAAAGGACAGAAAGUGAGCAGGGAGCGGGGGCUUUUGUCUAUUGUUCUCCUUGUGCUACUUGAGAGAAACUGCAAUCCCAAGACCUAACAGAACCUAAAAAUGGUCUAUCAGCCAGGUUCAAUGAUUUGGAUAAGCCAGAAGAUCUUUCCAACCAGCUGUGGGGUUGGGGGAUUUCCAAAGGUAAAGUUAUUUAUGUAAUUUCUUUCAUAUAAUAGUUUGCUAAGAUGAAAGUUUUCAGAAAAAAAAAAAAUAAAAAAAUAGAAAGUUCAAUGGAUUUUAUUUUACAACCACUUCAAGAAAGUAGCCAGCUCUUGAUUUCAUCAUGAGUCUCAUGUUACCCUGUUUUUCUUAAAGCUUGGCUCCUUGCACCAUGCAGUUAACUGAAGAUCUCAGAUUUCAUCUUAUAAUUAUGUUUUUAGCCUUCAGGCUUGCAGAAAGCAUGGACUCUUGCUGGCUGCACACCAAAAUGAAAACAUACUAAUUUUCAAAGGCUCAUAUUUCUUAAGCCUGUCUCAUGAUUUUACAAGCUUGACAUCUGAGUUUUGAAUGCUUAAUUUUGGCAAUGCUUUCCUAGCAAUGCAGAUGAAAAAGUCAAUGAUAAUGAAGCAGAAGGAACUGGGUGGUGUUACUUUUCUUUUAUUAAGUAUAUUGCUUGUGCUUUAUCUGGCUUGAGUAACAAGCAUACAAAGCAUGGCAGUUUUCAUCUGAGUUUGACAAGAAGUACCACAGUAUAAAGGUAGAAGAUGUGCCUCAUCAGACAGCAUUAAUAAGAUUUUAUUCUGUUACCAUUACUGGUUUAAUAAAUGUGAAACUGGACAUUAAAUUUCAGUAGUGAAAGAUAAC